rnacentral:snoRNA from 1 species
UCUUGCCAAUGAUGUUUUCCUACAUUGACUGAUGCUUAAUGCAAUGAUAUCAAUUUAAACACGCUGAGGCAAGU